AUACGGGUGAGGAUCUCCUCGUCCGUGUCGGCAUAACUCC
rnacentral:sRNA from 1 species